CCUACGGGAGGCAGCAGUGGGGAAUUUUGGACAAUGGGCGCAAGCCUGAUCCAGCAAUGCCGCGUGCAGGAUGAAGGCCUUCGGGUUGUAAACUGCUUUUGUACGGAACGAAACGGCUCCUUCUAAUACAAGGGGCUAAUGACGGUACCGUAAGAAUAAGCACCGGCUAACUACGUGCCAGCAGCCGCGGUAAUACGUAGGGUGCGAGCGUUAAUCGGAAUUACUGGGCGUAAAGCGUGCGCAGGCGGUUAUAUAAGACAGAUGUGAAAUCCCCGGGCUCAACCUGGGACCUGCAUUUGUGACUGUAUAGCUAGAGUACGGUAGAGGGGGAUGGAAUUCCGCGUGUAGCAGUGAAAUGCGUAGAUAUGCGGAGGAACACCGAUGGCGAAGGCAAUCCCCUGGACCUGUACUGACGCUCAUGCACGAAAGCGUGGGGAGCAAACAGGAUUAGAUACCCUGGUAGUCCACGCCCUAAACGAUGUCAACUGGUUNUUGGGUCUUCACUGACUCAGUAACGAAGCUAACGCGNGAGUGACGCGNGGAGCGCGAAACGAGU
rnacentral:rRNA from 1 species